GUGACUUUCUCGCUAAAUGUAGCGACUUUCCAAACCCUCUUGUCGACUUUUUUUUUGUCAAAAGUUACAAUUCUAGCGACUUUUCUGGUGUUUUGGAGACUCUGACGUGAAAGCACGUAUCGUUCUGAGGUUACUGUCCUCAACGAGCAGCGGGUGCUGCCGUGAACCCUCCGCCGUCCCAAAGCUCUCACAGGCGGCCAGUCUCACAGUAGCCUCCCGCAGCAGCUGCAGUCAGAGCAGAGAGGAGACCCGCACUAUCCCGCGUCGAGACUGCAAAUGAAUCGCGCAUGCGCAAAGCCACCGCUGAAAAUGUUUCUUCACUGUCACACUAAAGUAAAUCAAUUUGACUCACACAGUCUCAGUCACUUACUCAUCUCGCCCACUGUGUGUGUGCCUAGUUCACGCAUCAGCGUUUACUGUAAUGAAAAGCUAAUGCUAACAAACUACUGUGCUAAUGAAAAGUGAUUUUGUUUCUUCCAGGAAGGGUAAAACCCCCGCAGGCUUCCUCCUAAAAAGCAAAAAGACCCUGUUGGGUAAGGGAGUUCCCUGUUUUACUAAUCACUUUGCCACCAAGCUGCCCCAGCUUGCCCCUGCAGCACCUUCUUUCUCCACCCUCCUACAGCAACCUGCUGGCCAGCAUCAACAGACCAGGUGUUGAAAUCCACAUUGUCACAACCUGGCUCGAGACGAGGUGACAAGGAGGGAGACCACACAAUCAAAUAACUUUGGUCUAUGGUUUAAUUAAGUACAUGAUACACAAAGCACAAGCAAAAUAAGAAUAGCAGGCAGCAGGCCAGAGGGAAGAGACUGAGAAGAUCUUGCAGGUCUGCUUUAUAGCCUGAGCCCAGCCUGCUCAGGUGUACUGCAUCACUGACAAGGUCUCAGCUCCACCAUUCAACCUCCUGAAACGCAUGUUAAGCACACAGCCUGGGAAGGACAGGACAGCCACCUCUGAGGCCGUCAC
rnacentral:lncRNA from 1 species